CGGGUGAGUAAUGCUUGGGAAUCUAGCUUAUGGAGGGGGAUAACUACGGGAAACUGUAGCUAAUACCGCGUAGAGUCGGGAGAUGAAAGUGUGGGACCUUCGGGCCACAUGCCAUAGGAUGAGCCCAAGUGGGAUUAGGUAGUUGGUGAGGUAAAGGCUCACCAAGCCGACGAUCUCUAGCUGGUCUGAGAGGAUGACCAGCCACACUGGGACUGAGACACGGCCCAG
rnacentral:rRNA from 1 species